AGAGAUUGAAAAAUUAGAGAAAACUUUUAAUAGAAGAAGAUAAGUCAGAAAAACGAGUCGGGCAGCACAAGCAGUGAGUGAAAAUCAAAUAAACAAAAGGAAAGGACAGCCUUGCCCAUAUUUCGGAAAAAAAUUUCCGAAAAUAAUGUCUACACCGGCGAUCAAAUAUUUGCUAUCGUUGUUGAGUUCGUCGGAUCUUCGGCAAAGCGCAACAACCUAGCGGGCUGUUUUGGUCAUGUCACCGUCGGUAACAACCCCUAAAAUCAGAUCUGUCGCCGCCCCUUACCCCUUCUCUUCCCGUCGACACUUCCCAUUGGAAACACCAUCACCGGCGACACCUCCAAUGGUGAAAAUGCCGACCAAACCACCCCUUCAAUUGGCGAUCCCACGUUGGGAAAUGCCCCAAACCAAACCUUUUUUAUCCUUUCUCUUCUUUUUCCCUUUUUUGGGGAAGCCUCCGUGGCUGCUGCUCC
rnacentral:lncRNA from 1 species